rnacentral:rRNA from 1 species
UGGGGAAUUUUGGACAAUGGGGGAAACCCUGAUCCAGCCAUCCCGCGUGUGCGAUGAAGGCCUUCGGGUUGUAAAGCACUUUUGGCAGGAAAGAAACGUCGCGGGUUAAUACCCCGCGAAACUGACGGUACCUGCAGAAUAAGCACCGGCUAACUACGUGCCAGCAGCCGCGGUAAUACGUAGGGUGCAAGCGUUAAUCGGAAUUACUGGGCGUAAAGCGUGCGCAGGCGGUUCGGAAAGAAAGAUGUGAAAUCCCAGAGCUUAACUUUGGAACUGCAUUUUUAACUACCGGGCUAGAGUGCGUCAGAGGGAGGUGGAAUUCCGCGUGUAGCAGUGAAAUGCGUAGAUAUGCGGAGGAACACCGAUGGCGAAGGCAGCCUCCUGGGAUAACACUGACGCUCAUGCACGAAAGCGUGGGGAGCAAACAGGAUUAGAUACCCUGGUAGUCCACGCCCUAAAACGAUGUCAACUAGCUGUUGAGGCCUUCGGGCCUUGGUAGCGCAGCUAACGCGUGAAGUUGACCGCCUGGGGAGUACGGUC